GGUUGAUUAGUCUAAUAUAAGAUUUUUAUUUUGAAAAUAAGCGAUUAGUUAUAAGAAUAACUAAUCAACCU
rnacentral:tRNA from 2 species